GAUGAACGCUGGCGGCGUGCCUAAUACAUGCAAGUCGAGCGAACAGAUGAGGAGCUUGCUCCUCUGACGUUAGCGGCGGACGGGUGAGUAACACGUGGAUAACCUACCUAUAAGACUGGGAUAACUUCGGGAAACCGGAGCUAAUACCGGAUAAUAUAUUGAACCGCAUGGUUCAAUAGUGAAAGACGGUUUUGCUGUCACUUAUAGAUGGAUCCGCGCCGCAUUAGCUAGUUGGUAAGGUAACGGCUUACCAAGGCAACGAUGCGUAGCCGACCUGAGAGGGUGAUCGGCCACACUGGAACUGAGACACGGUCCAGACUCCUACGGGAGGCAGCAGUAGGGAAUCUUCCGCAAUGGGCGAAAGCCUGACGGAGCAACGCCGCGUGAGUGAUGAAGGUCUUCGGAUCGUAAAACCCUGUUAUUAGGGAAGAACAAAUGUGUAAGUAACUAUGCACGUCUUGACGGUACCUAAUCAGAAAGCCACGGCUAGCUACGUG
rnacentral:rRNA from 1 species